UGGGGAAUUUUGGACAAUGGGCGAAAGCCUGAUCCAGCAAUGCCGCGUGUGUGAAGAAGGCCUUCGGGUUGUAAAGCACUUUUGUCCGGAAAGAAAUCCUUGGCUCUAAUACAGUCGGGGGAUGACGGUACCGGAAGAAUAAGCACCGGCUAACUACGUGCCAGCAGCCGCGGUAAUACGUAGGGUGCAAGCGUUAAUCGGAAUUACUGGGCGUAAAGCGUGCGCAGGCGGUUUGCUAAGACCGAUGUGAAAUCCCCGGGCUCAACCUGGGAACUGCAUUGGUGACUGGCAGGCUAGAGUAUGGCAGAGGGGGGUAGAAUUCCACGUGUAGCAGUGAAAUGCGUAGAGAUGUGGAGGAAUACCGAUGGCGAAGGCAGCCCCCUGGGCCAAUACUGACGCUCAUGCACGAAAGCGUGGGGGAGCAAACAGGAUUAGAUACCCUGGUAGUCCACGCCCUAAAACGAUGUCAACUAGUUGUUGGGGAAUUCAUUUCCUUAGUAACGUAGCUAACGCGUGAAGUUGACCGCCUAGGGAGUACGGUCGCAAGAUUAAAAACUCAAAUGAAUUGACGGGGUCAUAGCUGUUUCCU
rnacentral:rRNA from 1 species